GAUGAACGCUGGCGGCGUGCUUAACACAUGCAAGUCGAGCGAAGCACUUAUGAAAGAUUCUUCGGAUGAAUUCAUUUGUGACUGAGCGGCGGACGGGUGAGUAACGCGUGGGUAACCUGCCUCAUACAGGGGGAUAACAGUUGGAAACGACUGCUAAUACCGCAUAAGCGCACAGUACCGCAUGGUACAGUGUGAAAAACUCCGGUGGUAUGAGAUGGACCCGCGUCUGAUUAGCUAGUUGGUGGGGUAACGGCCUACCAAGGCGACGAUCAGUAGCCGACCUGAGAGGGUGACCGGCCACAUUGGGACUGAGACACGGCCCAAAACUCCUACGGGAGGCAGCAGUGGGGAAUAUUGGCACAAUGGGGGAAACCCUGAUGCAGCAACGCCGCGUGAGUGAAGAAGUAUUUCGGAUGUAAAGCUCUAUCAGCAGGGAAGAAAAUGACGGUACCUGACUAAGAAGCCCCGGCUAACUACGUGCCAGCAGCCGACGG
rnacentral:rRNA from 1 species